GACGAACCGUGCGAACGUUGUUCGGAUUCACUGGGCUUAAAGGGUGCGUAGGCGGGUUCUCAAGUCGGGGGUGAAAGCCCACAGCUCAACUGUGGAAGUGCCUCCGAUACUGGGAAUCUUGAGGGAAGUAGGGGUGCGUGGAACUUCCGGUGGAGCGGUGAAAUGCGUAGAUAUCGGAAGGAACGCCGGUGGCGAAAGCGACGCACUGGAUCUCUUCUGACGCUGAGGCGCGAAAGCCAGGGGAGCAAACGGG
rnacentral:rRNA from 1 species